GCCCUCGUGGUGUAGUAGUCAGCACACUCGACUCGUAUUCGAGAGAUCCGGGGUUCGAAUCCCGGCGAGGCA
rnacentral:tRNA from 1 species